CUUGUAAAUAUUAUAUUACAAUUGGCGUUUGUCAAAUAAUGAAAUAUUGCCUUACACUUUUCAAUACUGUGCGCCGACUAGCACGCCAGCACGGUCUACAGUAACUUCGGACUUGAAUUAUACACAAUUGCUGCAUUGAAAUGUAACGAUUUCUUCUUAGGGAACUACCUAUACAUAUUAUACUUGUUAUUAAAAUGUUUUCGUAAUUUACACAGUAGAGAAAUAAAAAGUUACCACGGUCUACAUAUUAA